CACGUAGGGUGCGAGCGUUGUCCGGAAUUAUUGGGCGUAAAGAGCUCGUAGGCGGUGUGUCGCGUCGGCCGUGAAAACCUGCAGCUUAACUGUGGGCGUGCGGUCGAUACGGGCAUCACUGGAGUUCGGCAGGGGAGACUGGAAUUCCUGGUGUAGCGGUGAAAUGCGCAGAUAUCAGGAGGAACACCGGUGGCGAAGGCGGUUCUCUGGGCAUUACCUGACGCUGAGGCGCGAAAGCUAGGGGAGCAAACAGG
rnacentral:rRNA from 1 species